GAUCAUACUUCCUAGUUCUAGUAAGGACUCUACUGCUAUGUUUUGGACUAGCUGAAGUUUGUUUAUCAAGCGUGCAGAACAACCACCCAAGAAACUUAUGCUUAUGCAUUGUUGAAGGACUAACCGAAACAGAAUUUGUCACUCCACAUUAAACCGCAAAAACAGCACUUAUUGCUUGAAUACUGCAAAAUUUUUCGUACAAAAAUCUAAACACUUGAAUUAAAGUCAGUUUCAAUUGAGUUCAGUUAUCUUUUUUUCUUUGGCACAUUAGAGUCAAAUGUUUUUACAGAGGAAUGUAAUUCUUCUUACUCCAUCAGUCAUAUUUAAGUGCCGUUGAAGUACAGAUUAAUAUCUCACUUUGAGAAAACCGCCUUUAAAAUGAUUUAUUGUUAUUGAAGUCUGAGACAAAUGUUUCUUUCAUAGCACCUUAUUUAAGUGUCUUUUUAGGUGUUUCCUUUCCAGUGGCCUACAAAAAAACACUUCAUGAUAAAUCAAAAAGCUUUUUUUGGUUUAGUUUUUUUCUGCAGAGUCUGCCCUUAACUGAGAACAGGCCUGACUAAUCAGUUCUUGGCAUUUAAGAGUCAACAUCAUUUCGUAAAAAUGAGAAUCGAUUAAAAUCAAAGAGAUCAAUAUUUUUUUACCCAGCCCUAUUAGUGUGUGUGUGUAUUUGGCUGGCUGUGUGUGUGUCUGUCUCUGCAUGUGAGACAAAGCCAUUCGUUUGAAGCCUUAACAGCGCAGCUGGUUCGAGGAUGUCCGGGACGCGGAGGACGCUCUGCUCAAUCUGGACAGGAAGUGGGUCUGUGGCCGUCAGAUCGAGAUCCAGUUUGCUCAGGGAGACCGCAAGACGCCGGGGCAGAUGAAAGCCAAGGAGCGUCAGUCUCCUCGCAGCUCACGAUAUGAGGACUACGAUCGACGCAGACGCUCGCGCAGCCGUGACAGACGCAGAUCACGCAGCCCGUCCUAUGACAGACGCCGUCGUCGGUCGCAGAGCCCUAGAGAGUCCAGAGGAAGAACACACCGCAGACGCAGCCCAGAACAUGACCGGUACGUGAGACUUUACUGAUCGCAGCUUUACACGGACAAUACAGGACACUCACUUACUACUUGCUGUUAUUUUAUGUUAUUUAAAAAAACUUCCAAAAACAUAUAUUUUCUGACAUUUCUCUCAUCGUGGUUCACAUUCGUUCAUACUCGCUCAUGAUACUCGUUAGUGCUGUGCAAGAGACUCCAUGCUCAGAUCAUCCUAUUAUCAGCCUGUGAGAUCGCAGAAACCUGUUACCGUUAUUUAUUUACUUGGUUUCAAGACCAGAGAGUGAACCCACGGUUCAUAGCAACUUAUGUUUUUAUUACUUUAUGAUGGGCAGAAGAGAAAGCACACACUGAACAACAAAACUCUGGUGGUUUAACACCUUUCUUUGGAUGCUGCAUUCAUAAACUCAAUAUAAUCGCGUGUGAUUGGUUAAAACGCACAACUGUAAAAAUGCUGAAAAUAAAUCAAAUUAACCAAAUAAGCCCUAAUAUUGGAUAAUAAUUCUAGCUUAAUGAUGAUGAUGAUGAUGAUAAUCAUCUUCAGAAACAACACCGUAAUCACAUACUGUGUGUGUGUGUGUGUGUGUGUGUGUAUAUAUAUAUGUAUGACACACACAGUACCGUUCAAAAGUUUGGUUUGAUUUCCAUGAAAAAAAUCACACUUUUAUUUACCACAGUGAGUUGUAAAAUUAAUAGAAAAUAUAGUCAAGACUUUGACAAGGUUAGAAAUAAUGAUUUGUAGUAAUAAUUUUUUUCCUUCAAACUUUGCUUUUGUCAAAGAAUCCUCCGUUUGCAGCAAUUACAGCAUUGCAGACCUCUGGCAUUCUAGCUGUUAAUUUGUUGAGGUAAUCUGGAGAAAUUUCACCCCACGCUUCUAGAAGCCCUUCUCUCGAGUUGGAUUGGCUGGAUGGGCACUUAUGAAAUACUUAUGUAUAACUGACAACUAAUGAAAACACCAUAUUUAUUAUCUCAGAAAAUUUGAAUAUUGUGAAAAGGUUGAAUAUUGAAGACACCCGGUGCCUCUCUAAUCAGCUAAUUAACUCAAAACACCUGCAAAGGCCUUUAAAUGCUCUCUGUCUAGUUCUGUAGGCUACACAACCAUGGGGAAGAAUGCUGACUUGAAAGUUGUCCAAAAGACGACCAUUGACAGGAUUGUGAAACAAAACCCUUUCAAAAAUGUGGGGGAGAUUCACAAAGAGUAUACUGCAGCUGGAGUCUGUGCUUCAAGAACCACUACACACAGACGUGUACAAUACGUUUCAGCUGUCACAUACCUUGUGUCAAGACACUCUUGAACAACAGACAGCGUCAGAAGCAUCUCGCCUGGGCUAAAGACAAAAAGUUUUAGAGCACUUCAUGCUUCCUGCUGCUGACCAACUUUACGGAGAUGCAGAUUUAAUUUUCCAACAGGACUUGGCACCUGCACACAGCGCCAAAGCUAGCAGUACCUGGUUUAAGCACCAUGUUAUCCCUGUUCUUAAUUGGCUAGCGACCUCGCCUGAUUCUCUAUCGGGUUUUUGUGAAGAUGCGAUAUGCCAGACCCAACGAUGCAGAAGAGCUGAAGGCCACUAUCAGAGCGACCCGGGCUCUCAUAACACCUGAGCAGUGCCACAGACUGACCGACUCCACGCUCAUCAAUUGAGUGCUGGACCUGCUCAUACUUUUCAGUUGGCCAAGAUUCCUAAAAAUCCUCCCUUUGUUUUGGUCUAAAGUAAUAUUAUAAUUUUCACAUUUAAAAUAUCUAAAUAAAUGAAUAUAAUACACAAGUUUCACAUUUUCAGUGGAAUUAGUGAAAUCAACCUUUUGAUAUUCUAAUUAUAUGGC